GACGAACGCUGGCGGCGUGCUUAACACAUGCAAGUCGAACGAAGUGGCGAACGGGUGAGUAAUACGUGGGUAACCUGCCCUCCUUUUUGGGAUAAGCCUUGGAAACGGGGUCUAAUACCGAAUAAAGGGGGAUGGGCUCGCGGCCUAUCAGCUUGUUGGUGGGGUGGUGGCCUACCAAGGCGGUGACGGGUAGCCGGCCUGAGAGGGUGAACGGGCACAUUGGGACUGGGAGACGGGCCCGAAUUCUAACGGGGGGAGCAGUGGGGGGUAAUGGAAAAAGGGGGAAAGGCCGAAGGAGGGAAGGCGGCGGGGGGAUGAAGGGUUUUGGGGUGUAAAACUUGUUUGGCAACGAACGGGUAGGUGGAGAAGAAGCGCCGGCUAACUACGUGCCAGCAGCCGCGGUAAUAC
rnacentral:rRNA from 1 species